rnacentral:lncRNA from 1 species
AUGGAAACCCGGCGAGCCCUUGCCCCCGCCGGAGCCGGGGACGAGGCGAGCAGCCGGGGCGACCGGGGGCUGCAAGGCGGCCGCUGGCCACCGGGGGGCUUCAUUUCCCCUCGCAAGGACUCAGCCGGGAGCUGCUUCCCCAGAAACGGCGAGCCCGGCUUCCCUCCUCCUCCUCCUCCUCCUUUCGCUUUUAGGGCAGGCUUUCCCCACGGAAAGGCGUCUCGCCCACCCCCCGUUUAUUCCUGGGGCAAGCCGGCCCCAAACGUUGGCUUAAAACCCUUUUACAAAAUCCUAUUCCCGAGUGCUUUUCAAAUGAGGCCACCACAAUUAACCCUAUUGAACCGCUGCUGCGAAGACUUUCCAGGCGUGCUCAUAACCACAGCUGCUGUGCCUCAGCCGGGCACACAGUCCCGUUUCCAACACUUUCAAGCCGAGGCUGGAGCCAAAAACAAAACAGCGGGAAGCCCCCAUAUUAGACAAGGUUUUUUGGUUACAGGAGCUGCUGCCGCCUUGAAGGGUGGAAGAAAAUCAUCUGGAAGCAUUUGGGAACUGCCCUGCUGUGGUCAAAAUGGCUGGGGAUCACUGAAGAGCUGAAAUGAGGGGAGGCAGCAGUUGGCAAGAGAUGGGACAGGCAGCAGGGAGAGGGAGAGCAGAGUUUCUGAAGUAACACGCAGCCUAGAGAGCUGUCACAGGUUUGAGAUCGGCUCCUGUCCUUCCUCGGAGAAAAACGUUCCCAGUGAUCUGGAAGAGCGAGGGGGCUAACGGAGGCCUCCAAUUUUAGAAAUGUCUCUCGUCUCCGUAAUCCCUCAAUUUUUAUAACAUUUUUCUAGGUAUGACAUUAUACAAACUGCGUUAACUGACAAAUCCUCCGUUUGCAUUAGAUUUAAGUGGCUUCCCUCCCAUCACUCCUCACUGUUAAAAAUACAUUACAGAAAUUACUAUCCUGCCUAGGAAAAUGUGUGAUGACUCUGGUGUCUGUCGUUUAUUUCUAAAACAUUUUGGCACUUUUCCUGCCAGGUUGUCUUCUCCCUUCAGCUUUGAGUGAGGGAAGGGAAAGUGCAGAGGUAGGGCCAGAUUUUUCCAUUUCCCCGGUUAUUGCAUGCAUGCCUUGCAGCCCCCACUACAGGCAUGGUGGGAGCUAAAUGCAGGGCAGAAGAAGUAAAAUCGUCGGGAGGAAAGGCAUAUAGCACACAGAAACCACACUUCAGGCUGCUGUAAGAGUGGCUGUAUCGAAAAUACUGCCUGGGAUCUUGUCUCCCUACAGCGGCCAAUAUUUACAGAGAAACUAU